rnacentral:rRNA from 1 species
CGAAAGCCUGACGGAGCAACGCCGCGUGUGGGAAGAAGGCUCUUGGGCUGUCAACCACUUUUCUCAGGGAAGAAGACCUGACGGUACCUGAGGAAUCAGCCUCGGCUAACUCCGUGCCAGCAGCCGCGGUAAUACGGCGGAGGCAAGCGUUAUCCGGAAUUAUUGGGCGUAAAGCGUCCGCAGGGGGUCUUCCAAGUCUGCUGUCAAAGCCCGGGGCUCAACCCCGACGCGGCAGUGGAAACUGGGAGGCUAGAGUACGGCAGGGGUAAAGGGAAUUCCCAGUAUAUCAGUGAAAGGCGUAGAUAUUGGGAAGAACACCGGUGGCGAAAGCGCUCUACUGGGCCGUGACUGACCCUGAGGGACGAAAGCUAGGGGAGCG